AACGAACGCUGGCGGCAGGCUUAACACAUGCAAGUCGAGCGCCCCGCAAGGGGAGCGGCAGACGGGUGAGUAACGCGUGGGAAUCUACCCAUCUCUACGGAAUAACGCAUGGAAACGUGUGCUAAUACCGUAUACGUCCUACGGGAGAAAGAUUUAUCGGAGAUGGAUGAGCCCGCGUUGGAUUAGCUAGUUGGUGGGGUAAAGGCCUACCAAUGCGACGAUCCAUAGCUGGUCUGAGAGGAUGCUCAGCCACACUGGGACUGAGACACGGCCCAGACUCCUACGGGAGGCAGCAGUGGGGAAUAUUGGACAAUGGGCGCAAGCCUGAUCCAGCCAUGCCGCGUGAGUGAUGAAGGCCCUAGGGUUGUAAAGCUCUUUCACCGGUGAAGAUAAAGACGGUAACCGGAGAAGAAGCCCCGGCUAACUUCGUGCCAGCCGCCGCCGUAAGAC
rnacentral:rRNA from 1 species